rnacentral:rRNA from 1 species
UUCCGGUUGAUCCUGCCGGACCUGACUGCUAUCGGAUUGAUACUAAGCCAUGCGAGUCAUUGUAGCAAUACAAGGCAUACGGCUCAGUAACGCGUAGUCAACCUAACCUAUGGACGGGAAUAACCUCGGGAAACUGAGAAUAAUGCCCGAUAGAACAUUAUACCUGGAAUGGUUUAUGUUCCAAAUGAUUUAUCGCCAUAGGAUGGGACUGCGGCCUAUCAGUUUGUUGGUGAGGUAAUGGCCCACCAAGACUAUUACAGGUACGGGCUCUGAGAGGAGUAGCCCGGAGAUGGGUACUGAGACACGGACCCAGGCCCUAUGGGGCGCAGCAGGCGAGAAAACUUUGCAAUGUGCGAAAGCACGACAAGGUUAAUCCGAGUGAUUUCUGCUAAAGAAAUCUUUUGUUAGUCCUAGAAACACUAACGAAUAAGGGGUGGGCAAGUUCUGGUGUCAGCCGCCGCGGUAAAACCAGCACCUCAAGUGGUCAGGAUGAUUAUUGGGCCUAAAGCAUCCGUAGCCGGCUCUGUAAGUUUUCGGUUAAAUCUGUACGCUCAACGUACAGGCUGCCGGGAAUACUGCAGAACUAGGGAGUGGGAGAGGUAGACGGUACUCGGUAGGAAGUGGUAAAAUGCUUUGAUCUAUCGAUGACCACCUGUGGCGAAGGCGGUCUACCAGAACACGUCCGACGGUGAGGGAUGAAAGCUGGGGGAGCAAACCGGAUUAGAUACCCGGGUAGUCCCAGCUGUAAACUAUGCAAACUCAGUGAUGCAUUGGCUUGUGGCCAAUGCAGUGCUGCAGGGAAGCCGUUAAGUUUGCCGCCUGGGAAGUACGUACGCAAGUAUGAAACUUAAAGGAAUUGGCGGGGGAGCACCACAAGGGGUGAAGCCUGCGGUUCAAUUGGAUUCAACGCCGGG